UUGAACGCUGGCGGCAGGCCUAACACAUGCAAGUCGAACGGUAACAGAAAGCAGCUUGCUGCUUUGCUGACGAGUGGCGGACGGGUGAGUAAUGUCUGGGAAACUGCCCGAUGGAGGGGGAUAACUACUGGAAACGGUAGCUAAUACCGCAUAACGUCGCAAGACCAAAGAGGGGGACCUUCGGGCCUCUUGCCAUCGGAUGUGCCCAGAUGGGAUUAGCUAGUAGGUGGGGUAACGGCUCACCUAGGCGACGAUCCCUAGCUGGUCUGAGAGGAUGACCAGCCACACUGGAACUGAGACACGGUCCAGACUCCUACGGGAGGCAGCAGUGGGGAAUAUUGCACAAUGGGCGCAAGCCUGAUGCAGCCAUGCCGCGUGUAUGAAGAAGGCCUUCGGGUUGUAAAGUACUUUCAGCGGGGAGGAAGGGAGUAAAGUUAAUACCUUUGCUCAUUGACGUUACCCGCAGAAGAAGCACCGGCUAACUCCGUGCCAGCAGCCGCGGUAAUACGGAGGGUGCAAGCGUUAAUCGGAAUUACUGGGCGUAAAGCGCACGCAGGCGGUUUGUUAAGUCAGAUGUGAAAUCCCCGGGCUCAACCUGGGAACUGCAUCUGAUACUGGCAAGCUUGAGUCUCGUAGAGGGGGGUAGAAUUCCAGGUGUAGCGGUGAAAUGCGUAGAGAUCUGGAGGAAUACCGGUGGCGAAGGCGGCCCCCUGGACGAAGACUGACGCUCAGGUGCGAAAGCGUGGGGAGCAAACAGGAUUAGAUAGCCUGGUAGUCCACGCCGUAAACGAUGUCGACUUGGAGGUUGUGCCCUUGAGGCGUGGCUUCCGGAGCUAACGCGUUAAGUCGACCGCCUGGGGAGUACGGCCGCAAGGUUAAAACUCAAAUGAAUUGACGGGGGCCCGCACAAGCGGUGGAGCAUGUGGUUUAAUUCGAUGCAACGCGAAGAACCUUACCUGGUCUUGACAUCCACGGAAGUUUUCAGAGAUGAGAAUGUGCCUUCGGGAACCGUGAGACAGGUGCUGCAUGGCUGUCGUCAGCUCGUGUUGUGAAAUGUUGGGUUAAGUCCCGCAACGAGCGCAACCCUUAUCCUUUGUUGCCAGCGGUCCGGCCGGGAACUCAAAGGAGACUGCCAGUGAUAAACUGGAGGAAGGUGGGGAUGACGUCAAGUCAUCAUGGCCCUUACGACCAGGGCUACACACGUGCUACAAUGGCGCAUACAAAGAGAAGCGACCUCGCGAGAGCAAGCGGACCUCAUAAAGUGCGUCGUAGUCCGGAUUGGAGUCUGCAACUCGACUCCAUGAAGUCGGAAUCGCUAGUAAUCGUGGAUCAGAAUGCCACGGUGAAUACGUUCCCGGGCCUUGUACACACCGCCCGUCACACCAUGGGAGUGGGUUGCAAAAGAAGUAGGUAGCUUAACCUUCGGGAGGGCGCUUACCACUUUGUGAUUCAUGACUGGGGUG
rnacentral:rRNA from 1 species